UACGGAGGGUGCGAGCGUUAAUCGGAAUUACUGGGCGUAAAGCGCGCGUAGGCGGCCAAGUAAGCCGGUUGUGAAAGCCCCGGGCUCAACCUGGGAACUGCCUCCAAAACUAUCAGUCUGGAGUUCGAGAGAGGUGAGUGGAAUUCCGAGUGUAGAGGUGAAAUUCGUAGAUAUUCGGAGGAACACCAGUGGCGAAGGCGGCUCACUGGCUCGAUACUGACGCUGAGGUGCGAAAGCGUGGGGAGCAAACAGG
rnacentral:misc_RNA from 1 species